GAGCACGUAGGUGGGUUUGUAAGUCAGAUGUGAAAGCCUUCUGUUCAACGGAAGAAUUGCAUCUGAAACUACAGACCUUGAGUAUAGGAGGGGAGAGUGGAACUUCUGGUGGAGCGGUGAAAUGCGUAGAUAUCAGAAGGAACGCCGGCGGCGAAAGCGACUCUCUGGCCUAUAACUGACGCUGAGUGUGCGAAAGCUAGGGGAGCAAACGGGAUUAGAUACCCCGGUAGUCCUAGCCGUAAACGAUGGGCACUAAGUAGAGGGGUUU
rnacentral:rRNA from 1 species